rnacentral:rRNA from 1 species
AGUAGUUUGAUCCUGGCUCAGGAUAGACGCUGGCGGCGUGCCUAACACAUGCAAGUCGAGCGAUUCUCUUCGGAGAAGAGCGGCGGACGGGUGAGUAACGCGUGGGUAACCUGCCCUGUACACACGGAUAACAUACCGAAAGGUAUGCUAAUACGAGAUAAUAUGCUUUUAUCGCAUGGUAGAAGUAUCAAAGCUUUUGCGGUACAGGAUGGACCCGCGUCUGAUUAGCUAGUUGGUAAGGUAACGGCUUACCAAGGCGACGAUCAGUAGCCGACCUGAGAGGGUGAUCGGCCACAUUGGAACUGAGACACGGUCCAAACUCCUACGGGAGGCAGCAGUGGGGAAUAUUGCACAAUGGGCGAAAGCCUGAUGCAGCAACGCCGCGUGAGCGAUGAAGGCCUUCGGGUCGUAAAGCUCUGUCCUCAAGGAAGAUAAUGACGGUACUUGAGGAGGAAGCCCCGGCUAACUACGUG